GAUGAACGCUAGCUACAGGCUUAACACAUGCAAGUCGAGGGACCGGCGCACGGGUGAGUAACACGUAUACAACCUGCCCUUUACCCUGGGAUAGCCUUUCGAAUGAAAGAUUAAUACCCGAUGUAACGGAUGGGGAUGCGUUCCAUUAGGUUGUUGGUGAGGUAACGGCUCACCAAGCCUUCGAUGGAUAGGGGUUCUGAGAGGAAGGUCCCCCACAUUGGAACUGGAACACGGUCCAAACUACGACGGGAGGCAGCAGUGAGGAAUAUUGGUAAAUGGGCGUUAGCCUGAGCCAGCCAAGUAGCGUGAAGGAUGAAGGCUUAUGGGUCGUAAACUUCUUUAAUAUAAGAAUAUGUAUUAUAUGAAUAAGGAACGGCUAACUCCGUGCCAGCAGCCGCGGUAAUUC
rnacentral:rRNA from 1 species